AACUGCCACUUUAAUUCCCUUUUAACUUGGUAAAUAUCAUCCUUUUCUCUCCAACGGCCUGCAUCAUGCAAUGCUGAUCAAGAACAGUUAAAUCACUGUCACCAUCAUUCUUCCUUGUUUCUUCACAAUACAGCCAAUCACACACACAGUACUCUUUCCAAUUUCAUUUCUUGUCCUUUGUUUAGGCCAAGCCACAGUCAUGGGUUCUCUAAUCACUUAGAGUGGUUCUGGCCUCACCUCCCAAAUCUCAAGUGCAAAACCUCUUCAAGACUCUUAGCACAUUCUAGUUUCUAAUUCUAAUUGGGGUUAUAAAUCGUGAAUACUGUAAUUCUAUGGAUGUGAUUGUGGCCGGAUCAUAUUUUUACCUAAAACUAGACAUGCUUAUGGAACUCUAGAAGUUGGAAGCUUGCCAUUAGCAUUUUUAGAGAAUUUCCCAUGAACUCUAUAAGAUGAGAUUGGAGAUGGACUAGGAUGGUGAGAAAACAGUUCUAAAA